UAGGGAAUCUUCGGCAAUGGGGGGAACCCUGACCGAGCAACGCCGCGUGAGUGAAGAAGGUUUUCGGAUCGUAAAGCUCUGUUGUUAAGGAAGAACGAGUGUGAGAAUGGAAAGUUCAUGCUGUGACGGUACUUAACCAGAAAGGGACGGCUAACUACGUGCCAGCAGCCGCGGUAAUACGUAGGUCCCGAGCGUUGUCCGGAUUUAUUGGGCGUAAAGCGAGCGCAGGCGGUUAGAAAAGUCUGAAGUGAAAGGCAGUGGCUCAACCAUUGUAGGCUUUGGAAACUGUUUAACUUGAGUGCAGAAGGGGAGAGUGGAAUUCCAUGUGUAGCGGUGAAAUGCGUAGAUAUAUGGGGGAACACCGGUGGCGAAAGCGGCUCUCUGGUCUGUAACUGACGCUGAGGCUCGAACGCGUGGGGAGCGAACAGG
rnacentral:rRNA from 1 species